rnacentral:rRNA from 1 species
GAUGAACGCUGGCGGCGUGCCUAAUACAUGCAAGUCGAGCGAACGGACGAGAAGCUUGCUUCUCUGAUGUUAGCGGCUGACGGGUGAGUAACACGGUGAUAACCUACCUAUAUGACUGGGAUAACUUCGGGAAACCGGAGCUAAUACCGGAUAAUAGUUUAAACUUCAUUGUUCAAAAGUGAAAGACGGUCAUGCUGUCACUUAUAGAUGGAUCCGCGCUGCAUUAUCUAGUUGGUAAGGUAACGGCUUACCAAGGCAACGAUGCAUAGCCGACCUGAGAGGGUGACAGGCCACACUGGAACUGGGAACCGGUCAGGACUCCUACGGGAGGAAGAAGUAGGGAAUUUUGCGAAAUGGCGGAAGGCCUGACGGAGAAACGCGGCGUGAGUGAUGAAGGUCUUCGGAUCGUAAACUUCUGUUAUUAGGGAAGAACAUAUGUGUAAGUAAAUGUGCACAUCUUGACGGUACCUAAUCAGAAAGCGACGGCUAACUACGUG